rnacentral:rRNA from 1 species
GAGAACGGGACCAGCUUGCUGGUCUGUCAGCUAAGUGGCGCACGGGUGAGUAACGCGUGGGUGAUCUACCCUUGAGUUUGAGAUAACCCCGGGAAACUGGGGCUAAUACCGAAUAAUGCCUUUUCAUUGGUUUGGAGAGGUUAAAGAUUUAUCGCUUGAGGAUGAGCCUGCGACCUAUCAGUUUGUUGGUGGGGUAAUGGCCUACCAAGACUAAGACGGGUAGCUGAUCUGAGAGGAUGGUCAGCCACACUGGGACUGAGACACGGCCCAGACUCCUACGGGAGGCAGCAGUAGGGAAUAUUGCGCAAUGGAGGAAACUCUGACGCAGCGACGCCGCGUGAGUGAUGACGGCCUUUUUGGCUGUAAAGCUCUGUAAGGAGGGAAGAAAUGCCGGCUAGACCGGAGCUGACGGUACCUCCAAAGUAAGGACCGGCUAAAUACGUGCCAGCAGCCGCGGUAAUACGUAUGGUCCGAGCGUUGUCCGGAAUGACUGGGCGUAAAGGGUGUGUAGGUGGAUAUAUAUGUCAGGUGUGAAAUCCCUCGGCUCAACCGAGGAACUGCGCUUGAAACUGUAUAUCUUGAGCGUGUCAGGGGCAGGCGGAAUUCCCGGAGUAGCGGUGAAAUGCGUAGAGAUCGGGAAGAACACCGGUGGCGAAGGCGGCCUGCUGGGACAUUGCUGACACUGAGGCACGAAAGCGUGGGGAGCGAACGGGAUUAGAUACCCCGGUAGUCCACGCCGUAAACGAUGGGUACUAGAUGUUGGGUAUAUUGAAAUACUCGGUGUCGUAGUUAACGCGCUAAGUACCCCGCCUGGGGAGUACGGUCGCAAGAUUAAAACUCAAAGGAAUUGACGGGGGCCCGCACAAGCGGUGGAGCAUGUGGUUUAAUUCGAUGCAACGCGAAGAACCUUACCCGGAUUUGACAUCCUCUGGACGGAGACUAGAGAUAGUUUCUUUCUCUUCGGAGACUGGAGUGACAGGUGCUGCAUGGCUGUCGUCAGCUCGUGUUGUGAGAUGUUGGGUUAAGUCCCGCAACGAGCGCAACCCUUGUGUUUAGUUGCCAUCAUUAAGUUGGGCACUCUAGGGAGACUGCCGGUGUUAAACCGGAGGAAGGUGGGGAUGACGUCAAGUCCUCAUGGCCCUUAUGCCUAGGGCUACACACGUGCUACAAUGGCCGGUACAAAGGGCAGCAAUACCGCAAGGUGGAGCGAAUCCCAAAAAGCCGGUCUCAGUUCGGAUUGGAGUCUGCAACUCGACUCCAUGAAGUUGGAAUCGCUAGUAAUCGCGUAUCAGCAUGACGCGGUGAAUACGUUCCCGGGCCUUGUACACACCGCCCGUCACACCACGGGAGUCGAUUGUACCGGAAGUAGUUGAGCGAACUCCU